rnacentral:rRNA from 1 species
AAAGAGGGGGCAACUCCUCGAGUAGAGUGGCGAAAGGGGCAGUAAGGCAUGGAUAACCUACCCCGAGGAUGGGCAUAGCCGGCCUAACGGCCGGGUAAUUCCCAGCGUUGUAGCGAGAUGGCAUCACCUUGCUACCAAAUGAUUUAUCGCCUCGGGAGGGGUUCAUGUGAUAUUAGCUUGUUGGUGAGGUAACGGCUCACCUAGGCUGAGAUGUCUAGCGGGUGUGAGAGCACGACCCGCGCCACUGGCACUGAGACACUGGCCAGACACCUACGGGUGGCUGCAGUCGAGGAUCUUCGGCAAUGUGCGCAAGCAUGACCGAGCGACGCCGCGUGCGCGAUGAAGGCCUUCGGGUUGUAAAGCGCUGUCGAGGGGGAGGAAAGCCCGCAAGGGUCUGACCUAUCCCUGGAGGAAGCACGGGCUAAGUUCGUGCCAGCAGCCGCGGUAAGACGAACCGUGCGAACGUUGUUCGGAUUCACUGGGCUUAAAGGGCGCGUAGGCGGCUUGCCAAGUCAGGGGUGAAAUCUUUCGGCUCAACCGGAAAAGUGCCUUUGAUACUGGCGAGCUAGAGGGAGGUAGGGGUGCGUGGAACUUCUGGUGGAGCGGUGAAAUGCGUAGAUAUCAGAAGGAACGCCGGUGGCGAAAGCGACGCACUGGAUCUCUACUGACGCUGAGGCGCGAAAGCUAGGGGAGCGAACGGGAUUAGAUACCCCGGUAGUCCUAGCCCUAAACGAUGGGUACUAGGUUGUAGACUUGACAUGGGUUUACAGCCGAAGCAAAAGUGUUAAGUACCCCGCCUGGGGAGUAUGUCGCAAGGCUGAAACUC